GACGAACGCUGGCGGCGUGCUUAACACAUGCAAGUCGAACGGAAAGGCCCUGCUUUGGUGGGGUGCUCGAGGGGCGAACGGGUGGGUAACACGUGAGUAACCUGCACCUGACUGUGGGAUAACUUCAGAAAACUGGGGCUAAUACCGCCUAGGAGCUCCUGCUGCAUGAUGGGGGUUGGAAGGUUUCGGCGGUUGGGAAUGGACACGCGUCUUAUCAGCUUGUUGGUUGGGUAGUGGCUUACCAAGACUUGGACGGGUAGCCGGCCGGUGAGGGUGACCGGCCAGAUUGGGACGGAGAUACGGCCCAGACUCAUACGGGCGGGAGGAGUGGGGAAUAUUGAACAAUGGGCGGACGCCUGCUGCAGCCACGCAGGGCGCGGGAGGACGGCCUUCGGGUGGUAAACCGCUUUCGCUUGUGCCGAAGCGUGAGUGACGGUACUGGGUAAAGAAGCACCGGCUACCUCCGU
rnacentral:rRNA from 1 species